GGCGGCAGGCUUACCAUGCAAGUCGAGCGGAGAGAGGUAGCUUGCUACUGAUCUUAGCGGCGGACGGGUGAGUAAUGCUUAGGAAUCUGCCUAUUAGUGGGGGACAACAUUUCGAAAGGAAUGCUAAUACCGCAUACGUCCUACGGGAGAAAGCAGGGGAUCUUCGGACCUUGCGAAUAGAUGAGCCUAAGUCGGAUUAGCUAGUUGGUGGGGUAAAGGCCUACCAGGCGACGAUCUGUAGCGGGUCUGAGAGGAUGAUCCGCCACACUGGGACUGAGACACGGCCCAGACUCCUACGGGAGGCAGCAGUGGGGAAUAUUGGACAAUGGGCGCAAGCCUGAUCCAGCCAUGCCGCGUGUGUGAAGAAGGCCUUAUGGUUGUAAAGCACUUUAAGCGAGGAGGAGGCUACUUUAGUUAAUACCUAGAGAUAGUGGACGUUACUCGCAGAAUAAGCACCGGCUAACUCUGUGCCAGCAGCCGCGGUAAUACAGAGGGUGCAAGCGUUAAUCGGAUUUACUGGGCGUAAAGCGCGCGUAGGCGGCUAAUUAAGUCAAAUGUGAAAUCCCCGAGCUUAACUUGGGAAUUGCAUUCGAUACUGGUUAGCUAGAGUGUGGGAGAGGAUGGUAGAAUUCCAGGUGUAGCGGUGAAAUGCGUAGAGAUCUGGAGGAAUACCGAUGGCGAAGGCAGCCAUCUGGCCUAACACUGACGCUGAGGUGCGAAAGCAUGGGGAGCAAACAGGAUUAGAUACCCUGGUAGUCCAUGCCGUAAACGAUGUCUACUAGCCGUUGGGGCCUUUGAGGCUUUAGUGGCGCAGCUAACGCGAUAAGUAGACCGCCUGGGGAGUACGGUCGCAAGACUAAAACUCAAAUGAAUUGACGGGGGCCCGCACAAGCGGUGGAGCAUGUGGUUUAAUUCGAUGCAACGCGAAGAACCUUACCUGGCCUUGACAUAGUAAGAACUUUCCAGAGAUGGAUUGGUGCCUUCGGGAACUUACAUACAGGUGCUGCAUGGCUGUCGUCAGCUCGUGUCGUGAGAUGUUGGGUUAAGUCCCGCAACGAGCGCAACCCUUUUCCUUAUUUGCCAGCGAGUAAUGUCGGGAACUUUAAGGAUACUGCC
rnacentral:rRNA from 1 species